rnacentral:rRNA from 1 species
AGGGCACCACCAGGAGUGGUGCCUGCGGCUUAAUUUGACUCAACACGGGAAAACUUACCUGGUCCUGACACUAGAAGGAUUGACAGAUUGAUAGCUCUUUCUUGAUUUGGUGGAUGGUGGUGCAUGGCCGUUCUUAGUUGGUGGAGUGAUUUGUCUGGUUAAUUCCGAUAACGAACGAGACUCUAGCCUAUUAAAUAACACACAGAAUCUUGUCUUCUGUGGCGUUUCUUAAUGGGAUCAAGUGUGUUUAACGCUUUGAAACAGAGCAAUAACAGGUCUGUGAUGCCCUUAGAUGUUCGGGGCCGCACGCGCGCUACAUUGAGAGACAAAAUGAGUUUUCUAGUCUUUAAUAAGGCUAGUAAUCUUUGAAUGUUUUUCUUAAUGGGGAUAGGGGAUUGCAAUUGUGCCCCUUGAACGAGGAAUUCCCAGUAAGUGCUAGUCAUUAGCUAGUACUGAUUACGUCCCUGCCCUUUGUACACACCGCCCGUCGCUACUACCGAUUGAAUGGUUUAGUGAGAU